GAUGAACGCUGGCGGCGUGCUUAACACAUGCAAGUCGAACGAAGCACUUUACUUGAUCUUUUCGGAGUGAUUGUUUUGUGACUGAGUGGCGGACGGGUGAGUAACGCGUGGGUAACCUGCCUCACACAGGGGGAUAACAGUUGGAAACGGCUGCUAAUACCGCAUAAGCGCACAGUACCGCAUGGUACGGUGUGAAAAACUCCGGUGGUGUGAGAUGGACCCGCGUCUGAUUAGCUAGUUGGGAGGGCAGCGGCCUACCAAGGCGACGAGCAGUAGCCGAGCUGAGAGGGUGAACGGCCACAUUGGGACUGAGACACGGCCCAAACUCCUACGGGAGGCAGCAGUGGGGAAUAUUGCACAAUGGGGGAAACCCUGAUGCAGCGACGCCGCGUGAGCGAAGAAGUAUUUCGGUAUGUAAAGCUCUAUCAGCAGGGAAGAAGAAAUGACGGUACCUGACUAAGAAGCACCGGCUAAAUACGUGCCAGCCGCCGCCGUAA
rnacentral:rRNA from 1 species